rnacentral:rRNA from 1 species
UACGGGGGGGGCAAGCGUUGUUCGGAAUUACUGAGCGUAAAGGGCUCGUAGGCGGCCAACUAAGUCCGACGUGAAAUCCCCAGGCUUAACCUGGGAACUGCGUCGGAUACUGGAUGGCUUGAAUCCGGGAGAGGGAUGCGGAAUUCCAGGUGUAGCGGUGAAAUACGUAGAUAUCUGGAGGAACACCGGUGGCGAAGGCGGCAUCCUGGACCGGCAUUGACGCUGAGGAGCGAAAGCCAGGGGAGCAAACGGG